UACCAGCACCCCGAGUGGUCGGGACGAUUAUUGGGCCUAAAGCAUCCGUAGCCGGUCAUGCAAGUCCUCCGUUAAAUCCACCUGCUUAACAGAUGGGCUGCGGAGGAUACUACAAGGCUAGGAGGCGGAAGAGGCAAGCGGUACUCAGUGGGUAGGGGUAAAAUCCUCUGAUCCAUUGAAGGCCACCAGUGGCGAAGGCGGCUUGCCAAUACGCGCUCGACGGUGAGGGAUGAAAGCUGGGGGAGCAAACCGG
rnacentral:rRNA from 1 species